GCGGGAAUGGCGGAACGAACUGGCAGACGCACUUGAUUUAGGCUCAAGAUAUUGAGGGUUCGACUCCCUUUUCCCGUA
rnacentral:tRNA from 1 species